UCCCUGGUGGCUCAGAUGGUAAAGAAUCUGCCUACAAUGUAGGAGACCCAGGUUCGAUCCCUGGUGGGGAA
rnacentral:tRNA from 1 species